ensembl:snoRNA small nucleolar RNA, C/D box 101
GUUUGAAUGAUGACUUUCUAUUUUGUCGGAUACCCCUUCACUCCUCCUAUGAGUGAUAAUAGUGGUCUGACAAAC